rnacentral:rRNA from 1 species
GACGAACGCUGGCGGCGUGCUUAACACAUGCAAGUCGAACGGAAAGACGCUGCGUUUGUGGGGUUCUCGUUUGCCGAACGGGGGAGUAACACGUGAGUAACAUGCCCUUGUCUUUGUGAUAACUUCAGGGAACUGGGGCUAAUAUCGGGUAGGAUAUACUGCUGCAUGUGGGGGGUUGGUGAGAUUCGGCGGUGGUGGAUGGAUUCGCGGCUUAUGAGCUGCUUGGUGGGGUAGGGGCGGACCAAGGCUGUGACGGGUAGCCUGCCUGAGAGGGUGGACGGCGACAUUGGGCCUGCGAGACGCCGCAGACUCCUACGGGAGGCAGCAGUGGGGAAUAUUGCGCAACGAGCGGAAGCGUGAUGCAGCAACGCCGCGUGCGGGAUGACGUCCUACGGGUGGAAAACCACUUUCGACUGUGACGAAGCGUGAGUGACGGUAACGGGUAAAGAAGCACCGGCUAACUACGUG